ACUCAAAGGAAUUGACGGGGCCCCGCACAAGCGGCGGAGCAUGCGGAUUAAUUCGAUGCAACGCGAAGAACCUUACCUGGGUUUGAAAUAUGCCGGAAACACCUAGAGAUAGGUGCCCCUUUUAGGUCGGCUUACAGGUGGUGCAUGGCUGUCGUCAGCUCGUGUCGUGAGAUGUUGGGUUAAGUCCCGCAACGAGCGCAACCCUCGUCCAAUGUUGCCAGCGGUUCGGCCGGGAACUCAUUGGAGACCGCCGGGGUCAACUCGGAGGAAGGUGGGGAUGACGUCAAGUCAUCAUGCCCCUUAUGUCCAGGGCUUCACGCAUGCUACAAUGGCCGGUACAAAGAGCUGCCAACCCGCAAGGGCGAGCGAAUCUCAAAAAGCCGGUCUCAGUUCGGAUUGGGGUCUGCAACUCGACCCCAUGAAGUCGGAGUCGCUAGUAAUCGCAGAUCAGCAACGCUGCGGUGAAUACGUUCCCGGGGCUUGUACACACCGCCCGU
rnacentral:rRNA from 1 species